GAUGAACGCUGGCGGCGUGCUUAACACAUGCAAGUUGAACGAAGUGGCGGAUGGGCGAGUAACACGUGAGGAACCUGCCUUUCACAGGGGAAUAACACUGGGAAACCAGUGCUAAUACCGCAUAGUGAAAGAUGGCCUCGCGCCUGAUUAGCUAGUAGGUGAGGUAACGGCUCACCUAGGUGAUGAUCAGUAGCCGGACUGAAGGUUGAUCGGCCGCAUUGGGACUGAGACACGGCCCAGACUCCGACGGGAGGCAGAAGUGGGGAAUAUUGGGCAAUGGCGCAAGCCUAACCCAGCAACGCCGCGUGAAGGAAGACGGCCGCCGGACUGUAAACUUCUUUAGACUGGAUGCGGUAAUGGUAGAAUAAGCCACGGCUAACUACGUGCCAGCAGCCGCGGUAAUAC
rnacentral:rRNA from 1 species